GGAUCGAUGAUGACUUCCUCAUUCUGCAUUCCUUGGAAAAGCUGAACAAAAUGAGUGAGAACUCCCUACCCCAUUCACACCC
rnacentral:snoRNA from 1 species